AGCGAACGCUGGCGGCAGGCCUAACACAUGCAAGUCGAACGAACUCUUCGGAGUUAGUGGCGGACGGGUGAGUAACACGUGGGAACGUGCCUUUAGGUUCGGAAUAACUCAGGGAAACUUGUGCUAAUACCGAAUGUGCCCUUCGGGGGAAAGAUUUAUCGCCUUUAGAGCGGCCCGCGCCUGAUUAGCUAGUUGGUGAGGUAAAGGCUCACCAAGGCGACGAUCAGUAGCUGGUCUGAGAGGAUGAUCAGCCACAUUGGGACUGAGACACGGCCCAAACUCCUACGCGAGGCAGCAGUGGGGAAUCUUGCGCAAUGGGCGAAAGCCUGACGCAGCCAUGCCGCGUGAAUGAUGAAGGUCUUAGGAUUGUAAAAUUCUUUCACCGGGGACGAUAAUGACGGUACCCGGAGAAGAAGCCCCGGCUAACUUCGUG
rnacentral:rRNA from 1 species